rnacentral:rRNA from 1 species
CCUACGGGCGGCAGCAGUGAGGAAUAUUGGUCAAUGGCCGCAAGGCUGAACCAGCCAAGUAGCGUGAAGGAAGAAGGCCCUAUGGGUUGUAAACUUCUUUUAUAGGGGAAUAAAGGGAGCCACGUGUGGAUAUUUGCAUGUACCCUAUGAAUAAGGAUCGGCUAACUCCGUGCCAGCAGCCGCGGUAAUACGGAGGAUGCGAGCGUUAUCCGGAUUUAUUGGGUUUAAAGGGUGCGUAGGUGGUUUUUUAAGUCAGCUGUGAAAGUUUGUGGCUCAACCCUAAAAUUGCCGUUGAUACUGGCAGUCUUGAGUGUAUUUGAGGUAGGCGGAAUUCGUGGUGUAGCUGUGACAUGCUUAGAUAUCACGCAGAACUCCGAUUGCGAAGGCAGCUUACUAAGCCGUAACUGACACUGAUGCUCGAAAGCGUGGGUAUCAAACAGGAUUAGAUACCCGAGUAGUC